rnacentral:rRNA from 1 species
GAUGAACGCUGGCGGCGUGCCUAAUACAUGCAAGUCGAGCGAACGGACGAGAAGCUUGCUUCUCUGAUGUUAGCGGCGGACGUGUGAGUAACACGUGUAUAACCUACCUAUAAGACUGGUAUAACUUCGGGAAACCGGAGCUAAUACCGGAUAAUAUUUUGAACCGCAUGGGUCAAAAGUGAAAGACGGUCUUGCUGUCACUUAUAGAUGGAUCCGCGCUGCAUUAGCUAGUUGUUAAGGUAACGGCUUACCAAGGCAACGAUGCAUGGCCGACCUGAGAGGGUGAUCGGCCACACUGGAACUGAGACACGGUCCAGACUCCUACGGGAGGCAGCAGUAGGGAAUCUUCCGCAAUGGGCGAAAGCCUGACGGAGCAACGGCGCGUGAGUGAUGAAGGUCUUCGGAUCGUAAAACUCUGUUAUUAGGGAAGAACAUAUGUGUAAGUAACUGUGCACAUCGUGACGGUACCUAAUCAGAAAGCCACGGCUAACUACGUG